CCCCUAGAUGUUCUGGGCCGCACGCGCGCUACACUGAACAGUUCAACAAGUCUUAACCUUGGCCGAUAGGUCUGGGUAAUCUUUGAACGCUGUUCGUGAUUGGGAUAGACCUUUGCAAUUAUGGGUCUUCAACGAGGAAUUCCUAGUAAACGCAAGUCAUCAGCUUGCAUUGAUUACGUCCCUGCCCUUUGUACACACCGCCCGUCGCACCUACCGAUUGAAUGGUCCGGUGAAGCCUCCGGAUUGGCGCGCACCUCGGUGCCGCCGCGAAGUUGGCUAAACCUUACCAUUUAGAGGAAGGUGAAGUCGUAACA
rnacentral:rRNA from 1 species